rnacentral:rRNA from 1 species
AUUGAACGCUGGCGGCAUGCCUUACACAUGCAAGUCGAACGGCAGCACGGGGCAACCUGGUGGCGAGUGGCGAACGGGUGAGUAAUGCAUCGGAACGUACCUUUCAGUGGGGGAUAACGUAGCGAAAGUUACGCUAAUACCGCAUAUUCUGUGAGCAGGAAAGCAGGGGAUCGCAAGACCUUGCGUUGAUUGAGCGGCCGAUGUCAGAUUAGCUAGUUGGUGAGGUAAAGGCUCACCAAGGCGACGAUCUGUAGCGGGUCUGAGAGGAUGAUCCGCCACACUGGAACUGAGACACGGUCCAGACUCCUACGGGAGGCAGCAGUGGGGAAUUUUGGACAAUGGGGGCAACCCUGAUCCAGCCAUGCCGCGUGAGUGAAGAAGGCCUUCGGGUUGUAAAGCUCUUUCGGCCGGGAAGAAAUCGCAUGGGCUAAUACCCUGUGUGGAUGACGGUACCGGAAUAAGAAGCACCGGCUAACUACGUGCCAGCAGCCGCAGUAAUAC